rnacentral:rRNA from 1 species
AUUGAACGCUGGCGGCAGGCCUAACACAUGCAAGUCGAGCGGAGCGGCGGACGGGUGAGUAAUGCCUAGGAAUCUGCCUGGGAGCGGGGGAUAACGUCCGGAAACGGGCGCUAAUACCGCACACUAACAGAUGAGUCUAGAUCGGAGUGGCUAGUUGGUGGGGUAAAGGCCUACCCAGGCGACGAUCCGUAACUGGUCUGAGUGUAUGAUCAGUCAGACUGGAACUGAGACACGGUCCAGACCCCUACGGGAGGCAGCAGUGGGGAAUAUUGGACAAGGGGCGAAAGCCUGAUGCAGCCAUGCCGCGUGUGUGAAGAAGGUCUUCGGAGUGUAAAGUACUUUAAGUUGGGAGGCGUUACCAGCAGAAGAAGCACCGGCUACCUUAGUGCCAGCAGCCGCGGUAAUUC